UAAAAGGGUGCUUACUCUUUGAUAGUACGCGGGUGUUUCACCUUGCGGGGUAUGGAAAUCAAGACAUACCCAGCACACAAUUUUUGUACGCGUGGGGCAGUUUCUUGCGACAUGCUGAGACGCCCCC